AGGUUCUCUAUGUGGAGACCCCUUCUUUUGGAGAUUUUUGGUGAGCCUUGAGACAGCAUGGCCAAGUGACUGCCUUUAAUGCCAGCUAUGAAUCUGCAUAUAGGAGCUCAUCCCAAGAUGGAGCUAUACAUGGAUCUUAAUUAAAGAAGGCAAUUCCUAAACAGGCAGAAGUUCUCAGAAGGAACACAGCAACCUUGGAGAAACUCAAAAGCAACCAGAAGAGCAGCUUUGGGGAGCAGAGCUGGAGCAGGGAUGUUGGACCAGAUGACCUUGAGAGGGCCUUUCCAACUGCAGCUGUUCUGUGAUGCAGUGAUACUUUAUUAAUCAGGCUCCUCAUUCAACUCUGAAACCAGUGUUUUACUGGAGCCUUAUUUAAUUAUGUAUUUUGAUAAUUAGCGCAUUGAAAAAUCAGGGUUUGCUGUAGAAGGAAAGCAUUUCCCUUUGCAUCUUUUUAAACAAAAGCAAGCGAAAGUAGAGGAUUCUUCCACUGAUAUCAGUAAAGUGAUGUCUACCUCAAAUCCUAUAGGAAAGGGUUGGUUUGCAUGCAUUGUGAACAGGAUUUGUGGGAGUUUUGUGAACAUGUAAUAAUGAACUCUGGCAACACGUAGGGGAGAAUGGAGGGAGAAGACGGCACACAUAUGAUUGCACUGGUUUGUUGGUAAAGCAAGGAAAUUGGAGUGCACAGAGCAACCAAGAAGACUGGGUGCUGCUUUCAAUGCUGCUGCUGUUGUUGUUGCCAUAUUAGCAAGUGAGAAAUGUAAUUCAAGCCGAACAGAAGCAAGGAGAGUCUAAAUACUGCAGUGUAAAUCAGCAUCCACAUACUGUCUCACCUUCAUUUCUAGUCUUGUUGGAAGCUUUGUCCUCCCAUAAAAUGAACCAUUUGUGGAGAUUUGAUCACCGCUGCUUUGCAGUGGAGUUUGAGGUUGCUGUUGGACUUCUUACAGCAGUGGUGACAUUUGCUUUGUAUUGUAAAGGUGGACCCAAAUAGUUUUGUGCUUCCAGGAGUCUGGGCUGAUCCUCUGUUCUUAAUGGGUGUUUUAAAUCACAUUAAGUUCUGGAUCAAACCCCAGUUGAGUUCUUUCUAAAACUGUAAGGAACAAUUUAAACUGCUGAAUAACAUUACUGGAGAAAUCAAUGUU